AAUAGAUACCCCGGUAGUCCUGGCCCUAAACGAUGAAUGCUUGGUGUGGCGGGUAUCGAUCCCUGCCGUGCCGAAGUUAACGCGAUAAGCAUUCCGCCUGGGGAGUACGGUCGCAAGGCUGAAACUCGAAAGAAUUGACGGGGGCCCGCACAAGCGGUGGAGCAUGUGGUUCAAUUCGACGCAACGCGAAGAACCUUACCUGGGCUCGAAAUGCAGAUGACCAUCGGCGAAAGUCGACUUCCGCAAAGACAUCUGUAUAGGUGCUGCAUGGCUGUCGUCAGCUCGCGUCGUGAGAUGUUGGGUUAAGUCCCGCAACGAGCGCAACCCUUGUUCUCUGUUGCCAUCAGGUAAAGCUGGGCACUCUGAGGAGACUGCCGGUGACAAACCGGAGGAAGGUGGGGAUGACGUCAAGUCAGCAUGGCCUUUAUGUCCAGGGCUACACACGUGCUACAAUGGCCGGUACAAAGCGCUGCAAGCCCGCGAGGGCAAGCCAAUCGCAUAAAGCCGGU
rnacentral:rRNA from 1 species